rnacentral:lncRNA from 1 species
CAAUUUUAUAUCUCUUCUGCUUUGCUGUGCACAGGAAGCAGCAAUUGGGACUUUCAUGUGUGAUGCUUCAGCUGGAGAGACAAAGGCAAGGCGCACUCGGGUCCCUUCCUCAUCUCUGCUCCUUGAAAAAGGCUUCACUUGAGUGCCUGUGGCUCAUAUUUCCAUGACAGCAGGUGCAUGUGCACACAACCACCCUUCCUAGUGAGCUGCUCUGGAGAAGUGGUGAGGUAGUGGGAGAUGCAGG